GACGAACGCUGGCGGCGUGCUUAACACAUGCAAGUCGAACGGAAAGGCCCUGCUUUUGUGGGGUGCUCGAGUGGCGAACGGGUGAGUAACACGUGAGUAACCUGCCCUUGACUUUGGGAUAACUUCAGGAAACUGGGGCUAAUACCGGAUAGGAGCUCCUGCUGCAUGGUGGGGGUUGGAAAGUUUCGGCGGUUGGGGAUGGACUCGCGGCUUAUCAGCUUGUUGGUGGGGUAGUGGCUUACCAAGGCUUUGACGGGUAGCCGGCCUGAGAGGGUGAACGGCGACAUUAGGACUGAGAGACGGCCCAGACUCGUACGGGAGGCAGCGGUGGAGAGUAUUGCGCAGUGGGCGGAAGCCUGAUGCAGCAGCGCCGCGUGCGGGAUAACGGCCUUCGGGUUAAAAACCGCUUUCGCAUGUGACGAAGCGUGAGUGACGGUAAUGAGUAAAGAAGCAACGGCUAACUACGUG
rnacentral:rRNA from 1 species